ACCGGCAGCUACCUCUCUGCAAUUCUCACAUGGUCAUCCACGGAAGCUAAGUAUGGCUGCGCCUGGUCAGUACCUGCAUGGGAGACCUCAUGGGAAAGCUAGGGUGUGCUGCCGGAA
rnacentral:rRNA from 1 species